rnacentral:rRNA from 1 species
AUUGACGAGUUUGAUCCUGGCUCAGGAUCAACGCUGGCGGCGUGCCUAAUGCAUGCAAGUCGCACGGGCAGCCUUCGGGCUGUCAGUGGCGAACGGCUGAGGAACACGUACGAAUCUGCCCUCCGGUGGGGAAUAACGCACCGAAAGGUGUGCUAAUACCGCGUACGCGCGCAAGCGGAAAGCCGCAAGGCGCCGGGGGAGGAGCGUGCGGCCCAUCAGAUCGUUGGCGGGGUAACGGCCCACCAAGUCGGUGACGGGUCGCUGGUCUGUGAGGACGAUCAGCCAGACUGGGACUGCGACACGGCCCAGACACCUACGGGUGGCAGCAGCAAGGGAUCUUCGGCACUGGGCGCAAGCCUGACC